rnacentral:rRNA from 1 species
UACGGAGGGGGCUAGCGUUGUUCGGAAUUACUGGGCGUAAAGCGCACGUAGGCGGCUUCGUAAGUUAGAGGUGAAAGCCCAGGGCUUAACCCUGGAAUUGCCUUUAAGGCUGCAUCGCUAGAAUCGUGGAGAGGUGAGUGGAAUUCCGAGUGUAGAGGUGAAAUUCGUAGAUAUUCGGAAGAACACCAGUGGCGAAGGCGACUCACUGGACACGUAUUGACGCUGAGGUGCGAAAGCGUGGGGAGCAAACAGG